UACGGAGGGGGCUAGCGUUGUUCGGAAUUACUGGGCGUAAAGCGCGCGUAGGCGGACCUGCAAGUCGGGGUGAAAGCCCGAGGCUCAACCUCGGAACUGCCUUCGAUACUGCGGGUCUCGAGUCCGGGAGAGGUGAGUGGAAUUCCUAGUGUAGAGGUGAAAUUCGUAGAUAUUAGGAAGAACACCAGUGGCGAAGGCGGCUCACUGGCCCGGUACUGACGCUGAGGCGCGAAAGCGUGGGGAGCAAACAGG
rnacentral:rRNA from 1 species